UACGGAGGAUGCGAGCGUUAUCCGGAUUUAUUGGGUUUAAAGGGUGCGUAGGCGGGAUGCCAAGUCAGCGGUAAAAAUGCGGUGCUCAACGCCGUCGAGCCGUUGAAACUGGCGUUCUUGAGUGGGCGAGAAGUAUGCGAAAUGCGUGGUGUAGCGGUGAAAUGCAUAGAUAUCACGCAGAACUCCGAUUGCGAAGGCAGCAUACCGGCGCCCUACUGACGCUGAGGCACGAAAGCGUGGGUAUCGAACAGG
rnacentral:rRNA from 1 species